rnacentral:rRNA from 1 species
CCGGCACGGGUGAGUAACACGUAUCCAACCUGCCGUCUACUCUUGGCCAGCCUUCUGAAAGGAAGAUUAAUCCAGGAUGGCAUCAUGAGUUCACAUGUCCGCAUGAUUAAAGGUAUUUUCCGGUAGACGAUGGGGAUGUGUUCCAUUAGAUAGUAGGCGGGGUAACGGCCCACCUAGUCAACGAUGGAUAGGGGUUCUGAGAGGAAGGUCCCCCACAUUGGAACUGAGACACGGUCCAA